rnacentral:rRNA from 1 species
AUUGAACGCUGGCGGCAGGCCUAACACAUGCAAGUCGAGCGGCAGCGGGAAAGUAGCUUGCUACUUUUGCCGGCGAGCGGCGGACGGGUGAGUAAUGCCUGGGAAAUUGCCCAGUCGAGGGGGAUAACAGUUGAAAACGACCGCUAAUACCGCAUACGCCAUACGGGGGAACGCAGGGGACCUUCGGGCCUUGCGCGCUUGGAUAUGCCCAGGUGGGAUUAGCUAGUUGGUGAGGUAAUGGCUCACCAAGGCGACGAUCCCUAGCUGGUCUGAGAGGAUGAUCAGCCACACUGGAACUGAGACACGGUCCAGACUCCUACGGGAGGCAGCAGUGGGGAAUAUUGCACAAUGGGGGAAACCCUGAUGCAGCCAUGCCGCGUGUGUGAAGAAGGCCUUCGGGUUGUAAAGCACUUUCAGCGAGGAGGAAAGGUUGUUGGCUAAUAUCCAACAGCUGUGACGUUACUCGCAGAAGAAGCACCGGCUAACUCCGGGCCAGCAGCCGCGGUAAUAC